UUUGGCAGUGCUCGCAAGAGAACCGGAACACAGGUGCUGCAUGGCUGUCGUCAGCUCGUGUCGUGAGAUGUUGGGUUAAGUCCCGCAACGAGCGCAACCCUUGUCAUUAGUUGCUACGAAAGGGCACUCUAAUGAGACUGCCGGUGACAAACCGGAGGAAGGUGGGGAUGACGUCAAGUCCUCAUGGCCCUUAUGGGUAGGGCUUCACACGUCAUACAAUGGUCGGGACAGAGGGUCGCCAAUCCGCGAGGGGGGAGCCAAUCCCAGAAACCCGAUCGUAGUCCGGAUUGCAGGCUGCAACUCGCCUGCAUGAAGUCGGAAUCGCUAGUAAUCGCGGAUCAGCAUGUCGCGGUGAAUACGUUCCCGGGUCUU
rnacentral:rRNA from 1 species